rnacentral:lncRNA from 1 species
UUCCUGUGCAAAAUUUACAAAAUCUCUCAUUAGAUGGUAUUUUUGGUCUUGCAUACCUCCCAGUUUCUAUCGCUAAUGAGUGUGCAUUAUUCUUAAUUUAGUGAGUUUUUUUCAAUUUAUAUAUAUACCCUUUCCUCCAUUGAAUUUUUUUUUUUUGCAUACUUGAUUCGCAUAGGAUUUUUUUGAUAAAAUGCUGAACAUAUGCUUUAAAGUAUUAAGGCAUUGCGAAAAACAACUAUUUCAUCAAAUAAAUUUGAGUCGGAUAUAUAUAUAUUCCUAUGAUAUUCCUUUUCAUAAUGGAUACCAAUUUUAUUAAGUCAACUGCAGACACUUUGUAUUCAAAGUGUUUCAACUGAGGUACUACAAAGGCGUCAAAAGGCGUCAUUAUUGAGUAAGGGGGUGGCGUCAAAAGGCGUCAUUAUGGAGGAAAGGGUUAAAGGUACAAAAUG